rnacentral:rRNA from 1 species
UACGAAGGGUGCAAACGUUAUUCGGAGUGAUUGGGCGUAAAGGGUGUGUAGGCGGUAUGGUAAGUCAACUGUCAAAUUUCCCAGCUUAACUGGGAGCCGGCGGUUGAAACUGUUGUACUUGAGGAUGGAAGAGAGAAGCGGAAUUCUAGGAGUAGCGGUAAAAUGCGUAGAUCUCGAGAGGAACAUCGAUGGCGAAGGCAGCUUCUUGGUCCAUAUCUGACGCUGAGGCACGAAAGCGUGGGGAGCAAACAGG